rnacentral:rRNA from 1 species
UGCCAGCAGCCGCGGUAAUACGAAGGGUCCUAGCGUUGUUCGGAAUUACUGGGCGUAAAGAGCGCGUAGGCGGUUUGUUAAGUUAGGGGUGAAAUCCCGGGGCUCAACCUCGGAAUUGCCCUUAAUACUGGCAAGCUAGAGUGUGUAAGGGGAUAGUGGAAUAUUCAGUGUAGAGGUGAAAUUCGUAGAUAUUGAGUGGAACACCGGUGGCGAAGGCGGCUAUCUGGUACACAACUGACGCUAAAGUGCGAAAGCGUGGGUAGCAAACAGGAUUAGAUA